rnacentral:rRNA from 1 species
GACGAACGCUGGCGGCGUGCUUAACACAUGCAAGUCGAACGGAAAGGCCCUGCUUUUGUGGGGUGCUCGAGUGGCGAACGGGGGAGUAACACGUGAGUAACCUGCCCUUGACUUUGGGAUAACUUCAGGAAACUGGGGCUAAUACCGGAUAGGAGCUCCUGCUGCAUGGUGGGGGUUGGAAAGUUUCGGCGGUUGGGGAUGGACUCGCGGGUUAUCAGCUUGUUGGUGGGGUAGUGGCUUACCAAGGCUUUGACGGGUAGCCGGCCUGAGAGGGUGACCGGCCACAAUGGGACUGAGAUACGGCCCAGACUCCUACGGGAGGCAGCAGUGGGGAAUAUUGCACAAUGGGCGGAAGCCUGAUGCAGCAACGCCGCGUGCGGGAUGACGGCCUUCGGGUUGUAAACCGCUUUCGCCUGUGACGAAGCGUGAGUGACGGUAAUGGGUAAAGAAGCACCGGCUAACUACGUG